rnacentral:rRNA from 1 species
GUGGGGAAUUUUGGACAAUGGGCGCAAGCCUGAUCCAGCAAUGCCGCGUGCAGGAAGAAGGCCUUCGGGUUGUAAACUGCUUUUGUACGGAACGAAACGGUCCUGGUUAAUACCUGGGGCUAAUGACGGUACCGUAAGAAUAAGCACCGGCUAACUACGUGCCAGCAGCCGCGGUAAUCCGUAGGGUGCGAGCGUUAAUCGGACUUACUGGGCGUAAAGCGUGCGCAGGCGGUGCUGUAAGACAGGCGUGAAAUCCCCGGGCUCAACCUGGGAAUUGCGCUUGUGACUGCAGUGCUGGAGUACGGCAGAGGGGGAUGGAAUUCCGCGUGUAGCAGUGAAAUGCGUAGAUAUGCGGAGGAACACCGAUGGCGAAGGCAGUCCCCUGGGCCUGUACUGACGCUCAUGCACGAAAGCGUGGGGAGCAAACAGGAUUAGAUACCCCAGUAGUCC